GGAACUUGCAUUGAAGAUAAUUGGCUGGUUCUUGUUUUUCUUUUUACAGUUUUAGUGCUCUUUGCUGCAUUGCAGUGUGCACUCUUAUCAUUACGGGUUGAGCCGUGCAUACUUGCUUCUCAAUUGCUAUGGGUUUGCUCUUGCAGUAUGGUGUAUCUCCAAAAAGAUUCGAAGGUAAUCCCGCACUAUCAAGUUUCUUUAAAAUCUUAACAACAAGCGCUGAUACAAAUGAUAAGGUAAAGAAACAAGCUAUUUACUAUGUGCAUCUAUUGUGUACAUAGAAUGAGAGCUCUGUUAAUUGGUCUGUUGUUGCCUUGACAUAAAUUUUAUCAGCUCCUCUGUCGUUGGUUUUCCAUCCGUGGAAAUUGUCCUAAAGUCGAGUACUACUAUGAUGUUUUCUCAUAGGAUUUAGUUUAUGGAAUUUUUUAGCAUCUAUUGUGCCUGAUGCAAGCUCUACUUUGGAACUGAUCUUUAGUACUUCACAGAUUUUUCCUUGAUGAUGAAAGUCAAUGCCAACUUUAUCUUCAUUCAAGGUAGACUACUUAUUUAGACCCAAUUCUUGCCCUGUUUGGAUGCUGCUUGUUUAUCAUCUAGUUUUGUUUCUGCUGAAUGGACUUUCAUGGCAGUCAAAAGAGGUCUCAGGCAGUAUUGUGUAAAAUCAGUUGGGGAGGUAGUUCUAGAAAAUUUGGGUGUUGGAUUAUAAUAUUUCCUUAGUAACUUGUAAUUUCUUGAAAUGGUUCAUUUAACUUAAAACAGUAAAAUGUGCUUUCUUUUGUAGGUGCUCAAUGCAUUGGCCAGUCUUUUAUGUAGGUCGGGUAUAUCUACAGAGAAACUAUGGUAUGGUCGGGUAUUUUUGUGCCAGAUGAUCUGAACGGUGUGUUCCAUGUCUUCGAAAUCUUAGAUUUCCUGCACAUGUGUCUACCUGCACGUGUGCUGGAGUAGACAAGCAGGGCUGUAACCAUGUGUGGGCUUUGCAAACCUCGUGUAUUUUUAUAGUAGGGGUGCUUCAGGCCGUUAUAAUGUUUGGUGGACAUUUAAUGGACGGUUGUAAUGAAAUUGGUCAACGGCCUGAAUUCAACU